rnacentral:tRNA from 1 species
GGGGCUGUAGCUCAGCUGGGAGAGCGCUAGAUUUGCAUUCUAGAGGUCAGGGGUUCGAUCCCCCUCAGCUCCA